CCAGCAAUGUCUUAUAUAUUUCAGGUAUCCACUUUCUGCCCAUUAAAAUCAGGGAAAAUUUGAAGCCCUUCAGCUAUUGUGACAACGACCUGGAGUUUGAUGGCAAAGCCAUCUUCUCAAUUGUUGCCAGCUCCCUCUAUCUUCUCGUCAUCGUAGUGGCAACCUCAUACGAUGUCAUCACCAACAAUUUUCUCACACCAAAGACAAAAGGCGCUGGCACAGUUGAGAAAAACGGUGCACUGCCCAUGCAGAACGGAACAGGAAGCCAGGUAGUUUUGACCCAGAAAGAUGAAAAAGUGGAACCAAGUCUUGGAGUAAAACUUCUGGAGUGUUUCUCCAUUUACCAUAAUGGCGCAAAAUUCCUGAACACCAACCAAAGUGAGGGCACGCUAAGCUGUAUUCAUGGGGUUCGGUUCCUCAGUAUGUCAUGGGUCCUUCUGGGACAUGUCUAUGUGUUUGGCAUAACGAUUUU